rnacentral:rRNA from 1 species
GACGAACGCUGGCGGCGUGCUUAACACAUGCAAGUCGAACGGAAAGGCCUGCUUUCCCUUGUGGAUUGCGGGUACUCGAGUGGCGAACGGGUGGGUAACACGUGAGUGAUCUGCCCCCAACUUGGGUAUAAGCCUGGGAAACUGGGUCUAAUUCCCGAUAGGACUGCAGGGUGGUGCCUGUGGUGGAAAACGAUUUUCUAGUGGUUGGGGAUGAGCUCGCGGCCUAUCAGCUUGUUGGUGGGGUAAUGGCCUACCAAGGCGGCGACGGGUAGCCGGCCUGAGAGGGUGGACGGCCACAUUGGGACUGAGAUACGGCCCAGACUCCUACGGGAGGCAGCAGUGGGGAAUAAUGCACAAUGGGCGGAAGCCUGAUGCAGCGACGCCGCGUGGGAGAUGACGGCCUUCGGGUUGUAAACUCCUUUCGACCGCGAGGAAGCCACCUGGUUGGAAGGGUGGUGACGGUAGUGGUAGAAGAAGCACCGGCUAACUACGUG